rnacentral:rRNA from 1 species
AAAUUGAAGAGUUUGAUCAUGGCUCAGAUUGAACGCUGGCGGCAGGCCUAACACAUGCAAGUCGAGCGGUAGCACAGAGAGCUUGCUCUCGGGUGACGAGCGGCGGACGGGUGAGUAAUGUCUGGGAAACUGCCUGAUGGAGGGGGAUAACUACUGGAAACGGUAGCUAAUACCGCAUAACGUCGCAAGACCAAAGUGGGGGACCUUCGGGCCUCAUGCCAUCAGAUGUGCCCAGAUGGGAUUAGCUAGUAGGUGGGGUAACGGCUCACCUAGGCGACGAUCCCUAGCUGGUCUGAGAGGAUGACCAGCCACACUG